AACGAACGCUGGCGGCAGGCUUAACACAUGCAAGUCGAGCGCCCCGCAAGGGGAGCGGCAGACGGGUGAGUAACGCGUGGGAAUCUACCGAGCCCUAAGGAAUAGCUCCGGGAAACUGGAAUUAAUACCUUAUACGCCCUUUGGGGGAAAGAUUUAUCGGGGUUUGAUGAGCCCGCGUUGGAUUAGCUAGUUGGUGGGGUAAAGGCCUACCAAGGCGACGAUCCAUAGCUGGUCGGAGAGGAUGAUCAGCCACAUUGGGACUGAGACACGGCCCAAGCUCCUACGGGAGGCAGCAGGGGGGAAUAUUGGACAAUGGGCGCAAGCCUGAUCCAGCCAUGCCGCGUGAGUGAGGAAGGCCUUAGGGUUGUAAAGCUCUUUCCCCGGUGAAGAUAAUGACGGUAACCGGAGAAGAAGCCCCGGCUAACUUCGUGCCAGCCGCCGCCGUAACAC
rnacentral:rRNA from 1 species